rnacentral:rRNA from 1 species
GACGAACGCUGGCGGCGUGCCUAAUACACGCAAGUUGAGCGCUGAAGGUUGGUACUUGUACCAACUGGAUGAGCAGCGAACGGGUGAGUAACGCGUGGGGAAUCUGCCUUUGAGCGGGGGACAACAUUUGGAAACGAAUGCUAAUACCGCAUAAAAACUUUAAACACAAGUUUUAAGUUUGAAAGAUGCAAUUGCAUCACUCAAAGAUGAUCCCGCGUUGUAUUAGCUAGUUGGUGAGGUAAAGGCUCACCAAGGCGAUGAUACAUAGCCGACCUGAGAGGGUGAUCGGCCACAUUGGGACUGGGACACGGCCCAAACUCCUACGGGAGGCAGCAGUAGGGAAUCUUCGGCAAUGGACGAAAGUCUGACCGAGCAACGCCGCGUGAGUGAAGAAGGUUUUCGGAUCGUAAAACUCUGUUGGUAGAGAAGAACGUUGGUGAGAGUGGAAAGCUCAUCAAGUGACGGUAACUACCCAGAAAGGGACGGCUAACUACGUG